rnacentral:tRNA from 1 species
CUCUGUAGCUCAGUUGGUUAGAGCGCUGUACCGGAAUUGCAGGGUCGCAGGUUCGAUUCCCGAUGCAUGGAGG